AUAUUGGAGAGUUUGAUCCUGGCUCAGGACGAACGCUGGCGGCGUGCUUAACACAUGCAAGUCGAACGGGGCGAUUUGAAAGCUUGCUUUUAAUGAGCCUAGUGGCAAACGGGU
rnacentral:rRNA from 1 species